AGGUAAUAACCCAGCGACUAGAGCCCGCUCGUCUUUGGCGAUCAUGAAACGCAUAAUGUAAUGACCAUUCACCACGGGCAAUGCAGCCAUUGCGAUGCCGACCGACACGAGCGUUUCGAACGAAAAAUAACCCGCUGGGCCAGGGACCGACAUGUGCGCGGCCAAUCCGGGCGCGCGAGUUGAAGUCUGCGAAUUGAUGCCCAGAGAAGUGAGGUAUGCUGCAAUGAUCACUAAUCCCACAAUCAUAGCGGCCGCCUGCCAUAGGUCUGUCUUUACAUCGCCUUCCAUCCCGGCAAUGAGCGUAUAGAUCACGAAGGCGGCAAUCAUGAUUACAACGGACGCUGAAUAGUUCAUGCCGAACAUGCCCUCCAAGAGACGGCCAAUUGCAACGACUU
rnacentral:misc_RNA from 1 species